rnacentral:tRNA from 1 species
GUUUGUGGCUCAGUGGUAGAGCACUUGCCUAGCAUAUGUGAGACAUUGGGUUCGAUCCUCAGCACUACA